rnacentral:rRNA from 1 species
AAGGCCUUCGGGUUGUAAACCUCUUUCACCCGGGACGAAGAUGACGGGACCCGACGAGCAAACCCCGGCUAUCUCCGCGCCCAGGAGCCCCGGGAAUA